CGCAGCCGUGGUAAUUCCAGCUCCAAUAGCGUAUAUUAAAGUUGUUGCAGUUAAAAAGCUCGUAGUUGAAUUUCGGGAUCAGUACGCUGGUCAUGCCUUUGGUAUACACUGGUGUCACUGGUUUCUCCCUUCUGAAGAACUGUGAUGUCAUUAAUUUGGUGUUGCGGGGAAUCAGGACUGUUACUUUGAAAAAAUUAGAGUGUUUAAAGCAGGCUCACGCUUGAAUACAUUAGCAUGGAAUAAUAAAAUAGGACGUUUGAUUCUAUUUUGUUGGUUUCUAGGAUCGACGUAAUGAUUAAUAGGGAUAGUUGGGGGCAUUAGUAUUCAAUUGUCAGAGGUGAAAUUCUUGGAUUUAUUGAAGACUAACUACUGCGAAAGCAUUUGCCAAGGAUGUUUUCAUUAAUCAAGAACGAAAGUUAGGGGAUCGAAGACGAUCAGAUACCGUCGUAGUCUUAACCAUAAACUAUGCCGACUAGGGAUCGGAUGAUGUUAAUUUUUUAAUGACUCAUUCGGCGCCUUACG
rnacentral:rRNA from 1 species